rnacentral:rRNA from 1 species
AUACGGAGGAUGCGAGCGUUAUCCGGAUUUAUUGGGUUUAAAGGGUGCGUAGGUGGUAGAUUAAGUCAGCGGUGAAAGUUUGUCGCUCAACGAUAAAAUUGCCGUUGAUACUGGUUUACUUGAGUAUAGUUGAAGUAGGCGGAAUGCGUGGUGUAGCGGUGAAAUGCAUAGAUAUCACGCAGAACUCCGAUUGCGAAGGCAGCUUACUAAGUUAUAACUGACACUGAAGCACGAAAGCGUGGGUAUCAAACAGGAUUAGAUACCCUGGUAGUCCACGCAGUAAACGAUGAUUACUAGCUGUUUGCGAUAUACAGUAAGUGCCACAGCGAAAGCGUUAAGUAAUCCACCUGGGGAGUACGCCGUCAACGGUGAAACUCAAAUGAAUUGACGGGG